UGACCAGCACUCGGGAAAUUGUUCCAC
rnacentral:piRNA from 1 species